rnacentral:rRNA from 1 species
UACGGGGGGGGCAAGCGUUGUUCGGAAUUACUGGGCGUAAAGGGCUCGUAGGCGGCCAACUAAGUCGGAUGUGAAAUCCCCAGGCUUAACCUGGGAACUGCAUCCGAUACUGGAUGGCUUGAAUCCGGGAGAGGGAUGCGGAAUUCCAGGUGUAGCGGUGAAAUGCGCAGAUAUCAGGAGGAACACCGGUGGCGAAGGCGGGUCUCUGGGCCGAUACUGACGCUGAGGAGCGAAAGCGUGGGGAGCGAACAGG